rnacentral:rRNA from 1 species
UACGUAGGGUGCAAGCGUUAAUCGGAAUUACUGGGCGUAAAGCGUGCGCAGGCGGUUAUGUAAGACAGGUGUGAAAUCCCCGGGCUCAAACUGGGAACUGCAUCUGUGACUGCAUAGCUAGAGUACGGUAGAGGGGGAUGGAAUUCCGCGUGUAGCAGUGAAAUGCGUAGAUAUGCGGAGGAACACCGAUGGCGAAGGCAAUCCCCUGGACCUGUACUGACGCUCAUGCACGAAAGCGUGGGGAGCAAACAGG